rnacentral:tRNA from 1 species
GUUUUAAUAGUUUAAAAAAAACGUUGGUUUUGUAAACCAAAAAUGAGAACAAGCCCCACUUUUAAAACU